rnacentral:rRNA from 1 species
UAUCAGCUUUCGACGGUAUGGUAUUGGCUUACCGUGGCAGUGACGGUUAACGGGGGAUUAGGGUUCGAUUCCGGAGAGGGAGCCUGAGAAACGGCUACCACAUCUAAGGAAGGCAGCAGGCGCGCAAAUUACCCAAUUCUAACAGUUUGAGAGAGGUAGUAACAAGAAAUAACAAUACAAGGCAGUUAAAAUGCUUUGUAAUUGGAAUGAUAGAAAUUUAAACCCUUUUUAAAGUAUCAAUUGGAGGGCAAGUCUGGUGCCAGCAGCCGCGGUAAUUCCAGCUCCAAUAGCGUAUAUUAAAAUUGUUGCAGUUAAAAAGCUCGUAGUUGAAGUUCUGCUAAAAGUAACCGGUCUGCUUUUAAUAAAAGUGGUAUCUUGGUAUGUAUUUAGCAAUGAUGUCCUUUGAAGUGUUUUUUACUUUAUUGUAAUAAAGCAUAUUCAGGACUUUUACUUUGAGAAAAUUAGAGUGUUUCUAGCAGGCCGACGCUUUGAAUACUGCAGCAUGGAAUAAUAAGAUAGGAUUUUAGUUCUACAUUGUUGGUUUUAAGAGCUAAAUUAAUGAUUGAUAGGGACAGUUGGGGGCAUUUGUAUUUAACUGUCAGAGGUGAAAUUCUUAGAUUUG